GAAGAUGUAUAUAUUUCAAUUUCAGCAGGCAACUAUUUUUACAGCUACAUGAGAGUGAACUGGGCCAAAAUACAAAAAAUUCUGUGCCCAUUGACUGCCAUUAUAUGACUGACAGACUACAACGGUUUGAGUUAAAAACCUUUGUUUGUAUUCUACUGAAGAAACAAAGUCACCUACUUCUUGGAUGCCCUGGGGAUUGUUUAUGUUCCUAUAUUCUUCCAUGCUGAUGGCCGUGCAGCAGAGUUGGAGGGGACCUCUUGUUGAAGAACAUCUCCAAGACACUAUGAACCAUCUGACUAGCCAUCCUGUUUAACACUGCAUGAGGACACUACAACCAGAGAGGGAUGUUUGUGAAGACAGAAAAUCAAGAGAUGUUGUGACAACCUGGACAGAAUUCAGCUCCAGAUCCACCCUCCACACCAGACUUCUCACUCACAAGGAUUGCUGUCUACUAGCA